rnacentral:lncRNA from 1 species
AUGGAUGUUGUUGUCCGGAGCUGCCGGCUGUGGGCCUGCUCUCAGAAGGAGUCUUGCGCUCUCCAACCCUGCUUGCUCCAUCUCUCUUGCAGGGGAACAUUGUUGUUCUCAGUAGGUUUGGACCUGAGGGGGCAGAGGGGGAAUGGAGAUUAUGUGAAGAAGAAUUGGUGUGAGGGAGUGCUGGUGGGUGUCGAGAUUAGCAGCGGUGAGCGCUGGGAAGCUGCUAAUGGCAACAUCAGCAGGAAUGAGAGGAAAGGCGGCCAUUUCCUGCGCUUCCUUGGCCUUUGGUGUGUCUUCGGCCUGCUCCUGGCAUUACAGUCCAGCAGCUCUCCCUGUAAGUGCACGUUGCCUGGAUGGGAAGAGAUGCUUUUGCUCUGGCAAUGGAUCUUGCAGGGGUGUGUGGCCAAGCAAGGAGCACCUGGGUUAAAUAACGCCUGUGGCACGACCUAUGCCUUCUGCAGGACCAGAGAUCUGUGCAAAGCUGGAUUCCCUGCGGGCGCUGCCGGAGCCUGCUGCAGUCUGUCGGGACCAGCCGCUUGCCAUCUGCUGUGGGAACAGGCAGCAGAGAGCAUGCACCGUGACGGGGUGAGCAAGAGCAAACCAGCCUGCUGCGACAAGAAACUCAAGGGGACUGAAGAUGGCACCCGCAUUUUGGGACAGACAGAGAGUCAGCUGCUGCCUCUGGAGCAGAGCUCCACAGCCAGAUGCCUCCUGCAGUGA